rnacentral:rRNA from 1 species
AGAGUUUGAUCCUGGCUCAGGAUAAACGCUGGCGGCGUGCCUAAUACAUGCAAGUCGAACGCUAGUCGCCGAAAAUGAUCUGAGUGCUUGCACGAAGUGAAAAUGAGGCAUAUGGCUAGAGUGGCGAACGGGUGAGUAACACGUGGACAAUCUGCCCUUUAGCGGGGAAUAACAUUUGGAAACAGAUGCUAAUACCGCAUAACAACAGUUUUCGCAUGAUUACUGUUUGAAAGGCCCUUUUGGGUCACUAGAGGAUGAGUCCGCGGGGUAUUAGUUAGUUGGUGGGGUAAAGGCCUACCAAGACGAUGAUGCCUAGCCGAGUUGAGAGACUGAUCGGCCACAUUGGGACUGAGACACGGCCCAAACUCCUACGGGAGGCUGCAGUAGGGAAUUUUCCACAAUGGACGAAAGUCUGAUGGAGCAACGCCGCGUGUGUGAUGAAGGCCUUCGGGUUGUAAAGCACUGUUGUAAGGGAAGAAAAACUAGAAGAAGAGAAUGCUUCUGGUCUGACGGUACCUUACCAGAAAGGGAUGGCUAAAUACGUGCCAGCAGCCGCGGUAAUACGUAUGUCCCGAGCGUUAUCCGGAUUUAUUGGGCGUAAAGCGAGCGCAGACGGUUUAUUAAGUCUGAUGUGAAAGCCCUCGGCUUAACCGAGGAAUUGCAUUGGAAACUGGUUUACUUGAGUAUCGUAGAGGAAAGUGGAACUCCAUGUGUAGCGGUGGAAUGCGUAGAUAUAUGGAAGAACACCAGUGGCGAAGGCGACUUUCUGGACGAUUACUGACGUUGAGGCUCGAAAGUGUGGGUAGCAAACGGGAUUAGAUACCCCGGUAGUCCACACCGUAAACGAUGAGUGCUAGGUGUUGAGGGGUUUCCGCCUCCCAGUACCGCAGCUAACGCGUUAAGCACUCCGCCUGAGGAGUACGGCCGCAAGGCUAAAACUCAAAGGAAUUGACGGGGGCCCGCACAAGCGGUGGAGCAUGUGGUUUAAUUCGAAGCAACGCGAAAAACCUUACCAGGUCUUGACAUCCUGUUGACCAGGCUUGUAAUGAGCCUCUCUCUUCGGAGUAACAGUGACAGGUGGUGCAUGGUCGUCGUCAGCUCGUGUCGUGAGAUGUUGGGUUAAGUCCCGCAACGAGCGCAACCCUUAUCAUUAGUUGCCAGCAUUUAGUUGGGCACUCUAAUGAGACUGCCGGUGAUAAACCGGAGGAAGGUGGGGAUGACGUCAGAUCAUCAUGCCCCUUAUGACCUGGGCUACACACGUGCUACAAUGGCUAGUACAACGAGAAGCAAACCAGUGAUGGCAAGCAAAUCUCUUAAAACUAGUCUCAGUUCGGACUGCAGGCUGCAACUCGCCUGCACGAAGUCGGAAUCGCUAGUAAUCGCGAAUCAGCAUGUCGCGGUGAAUACGUUCCCGGGCCUUGUACACACCGCCCGUCAAAUCACGGAAGUUGGGGGUACCCAAAGUCGUCGUGUUAACCCUCGUGGAGACAGACGCCUAAGGUAAAACUAAUGACUGGGAUUAAGUCGUAACAAGGUAGCCGUAGGAGAACCUGCGGCUG